GAAGCAGACCAGACCGCCGCUGGUGCGAGCGUGGAAACACGGCACUGGAGGAAGGUCCGGACUGCACAGGGCAGCGUAGCAGCUAACGGCUGUCCACCGCGAGGUGCGGAUCAGAGCAACAGAGACGAGCCGAUUCAGUUCGGGUGAAACGGGCAAUCUCUACGCGCAGCAACACCAAAUAGGCACACGUCGACCCGGCCCGGCGAGUGUGCGGGUAGGUGGCAUCGAGCCUGGGGGGCGACUCCCGGCCCAGAGGAAUGGCGGUCACGGCAGGCUUCGCAAGGAGUCGGCCGCACAGAAUCCGGCCUAUCGGUCAGCUUCACAC
rnacentral:RNase_P_RNA from 1 species